rnacentral:rRNA from 1 species
AGCGAACGCUGGCGGCAGGCCUAACACAUGCAAGUCGAACGAACUCUUCGGAGUUAGUGGCGGACGGGUGAGUAACACGUGGGAACGUGCCUUUUGGUUCGGAACAACUCAGGGAAACUUGUGCUAAUACCGAAUGUGCCCUUCGGGGGAAAGAUUUAUCGCCAUUAGAGCGGCCCGCGUCUGAUUAGCUAGUUGGUGAGGUAACGGCUCACCAAGGCGACGAUCAGUAGCUGGUCUGAGAGGAUGACCAGCCACACUGGGACUGAGACACGGCCCAGACUCCUACGGGAGGCAGCAGUGGGGAAUCUUGCGCAAUGGGCGAAAGCCUGACGCAGCCAUGCCGCGUGAAUGAUGAAGGUCUUAGGAUUGUAAAAUUCUUUCACCGGGGACGAUAAUGACGGUACCCGGAGAAGAAGCCCCGGCUAACUUCGUG